AACGCGUUCAAGCAGCAACGUCGUCGGCCCGACAACGACGACGACAAUCGCGCGCACAGUGGUAAAAAAACUAACAAGCGCACAGCCGCUGCACCAUGUUAUUUGCUCAAUAUGACGCCAAAGACCCAAGAUCAACACACUUUGCAUGGAAAACAAGAACAGUGGAAAAUUUUACAACAGCUAAAGUUGGAAACUAAAAUGAAUGACGAUAUUUAUUAGUCAAAUUCGAAUAUAACGUAGAAUUUGUGUUCACUGUGCAACGGCGACUUUUUCAGGCAAAACGACGACGGCGACUUACGUCGCGCGUCUAUCGCAAAAACGAACAGGCUCCCAGCAAACGUAAGCAGCGACGUUACGUUCAAGCAAACGAUGCAGAGCAAAGAGAGCUUUUCGGUUCACACGACGCUGGAAAGAAAAAACCGCAAAAAGGAAAAGCCCCACAAACGAAUCCCGACAGGAUGCGAUAGACAGAAAAAAGGAUUUAAAUUAUAAAAAGG
rnacentral:sRNA from 1 species